rnacentral:rRNA from 1 species
UGCCACUAGAUUUCUAUUAGUGGUACAUCCUGCCCAGUGAAUUUUCAACGGCCGCGGUAUCCUGACCGUGCAAAGGUAGCAUAAUCACUUGCCUAUUAAUUGUAGGCUAGAAUGAAGGGACAAACGAGAAUAAAGCUGUCUCCUCUAAGCCAUUAAAACUUUAUAUCCGAGUGAAGAAGCUCAGAUACAGACGCAGGACAAGAAGACCCUAUAGAGCUUUACCUAAAACACUUAACAUAAAUGUGCCAUGGUUCGGUUGGGGCGACCAAGGGACAUCAAACACCCUUAGCUUUUAAGAUAUACAAAUCUCAUUAAUGAUCCUUACUUCAAGAUCAUCGAAUCUAGCUACCUUAGGGAUAACAGGCUAAUCCUCUUUAAGAGCCCUUAUCGACAAGAGGGUUUGGCACCUCGAUGUUGGCUUAGGAUCUCUAUAUGACGCAGCAGUCAUAACCAGAUGGUUUGUUCAACCAUUAAUAUCCU